AUGAACGCUGGCGGCGUGCCUAAUACAUGCAAGUCGAGCGAACAGACGAGGAGCUUGCUCCUCUGACGUUAGCGGCGGACGGGUGAGUAACACGUGGAUAACCUACCUAUAAGACUGGGAUAACUUCGGGAAACCGGAGCUAAUACCGGAUAAUAUAUUGAACCGCAUGGUUCAAUAGUGAAAGACGGUUUUGCUGUCACUCAUAGAUGGAUCCGCGCCGCAUUAGCUAGUUGGUAAGGUAACGGCUUACCAAGGCAACGAUGCGUAGCCGACCUGAGAGGGUGAUCGGCCACACUGGAACUGAGACACGGUCCAGACUCCUACGGGAGGCAGCAGUAGGGAAUCUUCCGCAAUGGGCGAAAGCCUGACGGAGCAACGCCGCGUGAGUGAUGAAGGUCUUCGGAUCGUAAAACUCUGUUAUUAGGGAAGAACAAAUGUGUAAGUAACUAUGCACGUCUUGACGGUACCUAAUCAGAAAGCCACGGCUAACUACGUG
rnacentral:rRNA from 1 species